rnacentral:rRNA from 1 species
GAAUCUUCCACAAUGGACGAAAGUCUGAUGGAGCAAUGCCGCGUGAGUGAAGAAGGUUUUCGGAUCGUAAAACUCUGUUGUGCGGGAAGAACAAGUAUGAGAGUCACUGCUCGUACCUUGACGGUUCCUCAUUAGAAAGCCACGGCUAACUCCCUUCCAUCCACCGCGGUAAUACGUAGGUGGCAAGCGUUGUCCGGAAUUAUUGGGCGUAAAGCGCGCGCAGGCGGUCCCUUAAGUCUGAUGUGAAAUCCCACGGCUCAACCGUGGAAGGUCAUUGGAAACUGGGGGACUUGAGUACAGAAGAGGAAAGCGGAAUUCCAAGUGUAGCGGUGAAACGCGUAGAGAUUUGGAGGAACACCAGUGGCGAAGGCGGUUUUCUGGUCUGUAACUGACGCUGAGGCGCGAAAGCGUGGGGAGCAAACA